CACCCCCUCCCCUGUCCCCACCUCCUCCUGGUGUUCUGGUGGGGAGGGGGACGGUGAAACCUGCCCUAAGGCACUGGCUGGAAUUGCGUGCCGCGUCCGUCUCCGGAGGGAUCGUCUCUGGUCCCGCAGCCCCUCUCGACCCCUCACCCUGUCGCUGGGCUGCAGUUGGCGAUUCCGCGCGGUGAAAGCAGCCAGUGCCCAGGGUCUUUUCCUGAGUGCACCUGGGCCUGCCGCCCGGCGAUGCCAUGGGGUCGUGCGCUGCUUUUCUACUUGCCGCGCUCUCACUGCUCGGUGUACUGGGAGGGUACCCUGGGAGGCGUGCCUUUAUUCUUCCGAACCGCCGCUCACUGAGACAGUGGCUAGAAGUGUCUCUUGGACCUGUGAGUUAGCCUUAACCUGUUAUGCCCCCAGAGCCCUCAGUGGAGCGCCCGUACUUUGCCGGCAUGACGUUUGAUUUCCCGGUGAUAAUCCGACGAGUUUGACAGAUUGAGGUAGUGAGCAAAGUUGCCCGUCAGUUGGUGGCCACUUGACUUCGUGCGGACCCUGGCCUUGCUCUUGGAAGAGAUAGUGUUCUUAGGGCUGGUUUCACUGUCUCUUAAGACUGAAGGGUGGAGCUGGGAUAUAGAUGUGUUGUUUCUUUUCAAAUCAAACCUGCUUUAGGUCGUCACUCGAGGGUGUCUAGCGAUUAUGGGCAGUGGGGGCCUGGGAUUAGGGAUUUCUAAAGGCGUUUGAUUUGAAAAGGAUAACAUUACAUGAUGUAGGUGGUUUGCUCCCCUCUUUCUUCCCAUUUUUUCAAUCCCC
rnacentral:lncRNA from 1 species